CACUCCUGCGGGAGGCAGCAGUGGGGAAUAUUGCACAAUGGGCGCAAGCCUGAAGCAGCCAUGCCGCGUGUAUGAAGAAGGCCUUCGGGUUGUAAAGUACUUUCAGCGGGGAGGAAGGCAAUACGGUUAAUAACCGUGUUGAUUGACGUUACCCGCAGAAGAAGCACCGGCUAACUCCGUGCCAGCAGCCGCGGUAAUACGGAGGGUGCAAGCGUUAAUCGGAAUUACUGGGCGUAAAGCGCACGCAGGCGGUCUGUCAAGUCGGAUGUGAAAUCCCCGGGCUCAACCUGGGAACUGCAUUCGAAACUGGCAGGCUUGAGUCUUGUAGAGGGGGGUAGAAUUCCAGGUGUAGCGGUGAAAUGCGUAGAGAUCUGGAGGAAUACCGGUGGCGAAGGCGGCCCCCUGGACAAAGACUGACGCUCAGGUGCGAAAGCGUGGGGAGCAAACAGGAUUAGAAACCCUAGUAGUCCCA
rnacentral:rRNA from 1 species